rnacentral:rRNA from 1 species
CCUACGGGAGGCAGCAGUGGGGAAUAUUGGACAAUGGGGGGAACCCUGAUCCAGCCAUGCCGCGUGUGUGAAGAAGGCCCUCGGGUUGUAAAGCACUUUCAGUGAGGAAGAACGCCUGGUGGUUAAUACCCAUCAGGAAAGACAUCACUCACAGAAGAAGCACCGGCUAACUCCGUGCCAGCAGCCGCGGUAAUACGGAGGGUGCGAGCGUUAAUCGGAAUUACUGGGCGUAAAGCGCGCGUAGGUGGCUUGAUAAGCCGGUUGUGAAAGCCCCGGGCUCAACCUGGGAACGGCAUCCGGAACUGUCAGGCUAGAGUGCAGGAGAGGAAGGUAGAAUUCCCGGUGUAGCGGUGAAAUGCGUAGAGAUCGGGAGGAAUACCAGUGGCGAAGGCGGCCUUCUGGACUGACACUGACACUGAGGUGCGAAAGCGUGGGUAGCAAACAGGAUUAGAUACCCUAGUAGUC